ensembl:snRNA U2 U2 spliceosomal RNA
AUCGCUUCUCGGCCUUUUGGCUAAGAUCAAGUGUAGUAUUUGUUCUUAUCAGUUUAAUAAUAAGCAAGUACUGGAAAUAACUAGUGUUCAACAGUAGAAAUUGACAUAGCCACA